CUGUUCCGUUUAUCUUAGCCAACCUUUUUCAUUUUUUAUUGAUUAGUUCCUGAGUGGAUUCAUUUGUUUGUAGCAUAAUUUUUCCAUUUUUAAUAUUUUUUAUUUUUAAACAGCGAAGCGGUUUUUAUUUAGAAUUUAUUUUAUAUUAGUUACUCUGAUUUAUUUAUUUAUUUAUUUUUUAAUUUUUGAUUAAGAAUUUCUCUUCUAUAAUUAUUUUUUCUUCACCAUUUGUGGGGAUUUGGGUUCGAGGGCUUGUGCUUUUCUGUUAGAAUGUGGUGAAACGCAAAGUUUCAGUUUUAUUGUCGAAAUUAAAGGAAAGUGAUGCAAAUUAUCUGAAAUUUUGUGUUGACCAGCAACUCCGCUUAAUAUCUGAUGCCUUUUCGAAGGUUUUUACUUUUUUCCCAUUCUUUGAAGUUAUUAUAAUUAUCUGUGUUGAUGUUUGUUUGGAAUGGAUGAGGAAUUUGCAAACUUUUUGAACACAUACAAUAUUGAGUUGGUAAUAAUCUAAUUGUAAUAUUUAGUUAAUUUGAUGAUGAGAGAAACAGAAACUGAUGCUGCGUUGGAUCAAUGCCUGCAAAAUUCAUGUUACUGAGAAACAGAUAUUUGUUGCUUGGAUUUUCUGUUAUGUUGUUAAUUAUAUGAUACAAUAAGAUGGAGCCCAGCCCUCCACCUGAAGAAUGAGUCUUUGUCUCCUUGGUCGGUUUGUAUUAGUAUAUUCAACUUUCUCAUAUGUUGUUCUGCAAUGAUGAACCUUCUAAAUUAUGUCUGGACGUAUGAACUUGUUCAUGAUUUCUUAUCCGAGUUCUGAGUAGAAUGGUUUUACUAUAUACUCUAAUUUUAUUUUAUUUUUAUUCCUUCUAUCUUUCAUGAAUCAUGAUAUCAUGAUUUAUUUUUUAUUUUUUUUUUUCAAUUGAAUUGUUCUUUUUAUUUUCCCCUUAAUGGGCUAUGAUGAUUAAGAACUACUAUUUUCUGAGGGGAAUUCUUUCCCUUGAUUAUAAGAAACCAAUGGAUCCCCACAUUGUUUAUUUCUCUUUGUAAAUUUAUGCACUGAAUGGCACACAGCACGCAAAGAGUUUUAAUGUUUGGUUGUGUUUAAAAGUAUGUACUGUUAGUAAAGGAAGUUUCUUUUACGCAAGCAAUUUGCACAGGUAAAAAUUCUUAUCCAUUGCUCUCUUUACCAGAAAUUGCGUUCAAACUUAUAAAAUUUGGAACUCUCUCUCUUUUUGUUUUUCAUUUUGUACCAAAAAAAUAGAAAUUAUAUUUUCUAUUCAUGUACUCUAGGAGAUUUGAAACUGUAUAUUGUGAAUUGUAUUUAACCUGAUUAGGUUUUAAGAUACGUAUUCAAACUAUAGCAACAAGAGUCCUACAUUGAGACAUGUUCGGAAUUAUUACUGCUAGACAGUCUGUGGUGGUUUGAGUCUACUCUCAAAAUUUAGUGCACUCAUUCCUCAUUAAAAGCCAAAUUACUCAUCAAACGUUUUGCAGCACUCAAGAAAACCACCCAAAUUCUGCCAAAUUCUCCUCUUUCUUUUGCUAUUCCCCACACUUAAAAACUGCCCAAAUUCUUACAAGAAUGAGAGAUGAAGAAGCCCGAACAAGUAGUUCAAUAAUAGCCAUUCUGGUGGCUCUGGCUUAGACUGUAAUGGCUAGUUUGUUACAGGGAAGUAUAAGUUGUGGGCACUUGCUGCUGUUUUUCUCCUGGCAUUUUGAUCAAUGUUUACUGGCUCUCUUCACUCUCAAAUAGUCUGCUGUUAAUUUUAAACAUUUAUCACAUGACUUGGACUCUACCUUCCAUGAUGAUCUUGAUAUUCCAUUGGUAUAUACAUAUAUUUGUUUAUAUCUAGACAUAGGAUCUUAUGUUCUCAAAGUCACUUAAGUCUUUUAUUGGUUGUUUUUUUGACCUUUGUUUUUUUUUUUUUUUUUAAAUCUCUAAAUCGACAUGUUGAGUAUGGUAAAUUGUACGACUGUGAGGAACUAAGCAUGAUGUUUGUCAGUGCCAUGUUCUGUUCAAGGUACUAAAGAUGCUGUCACUGAAAAUGAUGCGAAUUUUUGAAAUAGACAAGUAUUUUCAUGUUAUCUCAUAAUCAUAUGGUAAACUUGUCAAUUGAAUGCAUUCUAUAUACAUAGUGUCGUGGUCUUAGUAAUCAUUAAAAUAUAAAUUAUUUUUGGAGGUUCAUUUUGAGCAAACUAGUAUUCUUCUUUUACAUUAGACUGAAAAUCAAUCUGGGUUCCAGGAAUUGAAACUCUCUCUCACGUUAUCCCACAAUUCUAAUUCACAUUAUUUGAGGUGUGGUCUAAUUUUAUUUUAUUUUAUUUUAUUAUUAUUAUUAUUUUUUUAAAUUGAUCUGUUCUUUUUAUUUCCUCCUUAAAGGGCUGUGAUGAUUAAGAACUACCUACUUUCUGAGGGGAGUUCUUUCCCUUGAUUAUAAGAAACCAAUGGAUCCUCUGAGCCUGUUUCACAUUGUUUAUUUCUCUUUGUAAAUUUAUGCACUGCAUGGAACACACCACACGAAGAGUUUUAGCAUGUUUGGUUGUGUUUAAAAGUAAGUAUUGUUAGUAAAGGAAGUUUCUUUGACGCAAGCAAUAUGCACAGGUAAAUAUUUUUAUUCAUUGUUCUCUUUAUCAGAAAUUGCGUUUAAACUUUUAAGAUUUGGACUGUCUUUUUGCUUUUCAUUUUUUACCAAAAAAAUAGAUAUUGUAUUUGCUAUUCUAUAUACUCUUGUAGAGUUGAAACUCUAUAUCUGAAUUGUAUUUUCUGACCUGAUUAGGUUUUAAGAUUCAUAAUCAAACUAUAGCAACAAGAGUCAUACGAUGAGACAUGUUCCAAAUUAUUACUGCUGGCCAGUCUCUGGUGGUUUGUGUCUACUCUCAAAAUUUAGGCACUCAUUCCUCAUUAAAAGCCAAAUUACUCAUCAAACAUCUUGCAGCAUUCAAGAAACCACCCAAAUUUUCCUCUUUCUUUUGCUAUUCCCAACACUUAAAAACUGCCAAAAUUCUUGCAAGAAUGAUACAUGAAGAAGCCUGAACAGUUAGUUCAAUAAUAGCCAUUCCAAAGAAAGGUAGUGGCUCUGGUUUAGACCGUCAUGGCUAGUUUGUUAAGAGGGAAGCAUAACUUGUCAGCACUGGCUGCAAUUUUUUUCCUGGCAUUUUGGUCAAUGUUUACUGGCUCUGUCACUCUCAAAUAGUCUGCUGUUAGUCUUAAACGUUCAUCACACAACCUUCCAUGGCGAUCUUGAUAUUCCUGUCGGCAUAUAUUUGUUUUAUAUCUAGACACAGGAUCUUUUAUGUUCUCAAAGUCACUUAAAUCUUAUUGGUUUUCUUUCUUAUUUCCCUUUUUUUGUUUUAAAUAGACAUGUUUAGUAAAUUGUGCACUCGUGAGGAACUAAGGAUGUUUAAUGUUUGUUAGUUGCGAAUUUUUUAAAUAGAUAAGUAUUUUCAUGUUAUCUCAUAAUCAUAUGGUAAACUUGUCAAUUGAAGGGUAUAUUGGGCAUUCUACAUAUGUAGUGUCGUGGUCUUAUUCGUUAAAAUUAAUUAUAUUCGGAGGGUCAUUUUGAGCAACCUAGUACUCUUCUUUUACAUUAGACUGAAAAUCUUUCCGGGUUCAGGGAAGUGAACCUAGCUCUCAGCCUCUCACAUUACAUGUGCGUCUAAUUUGCUGGUUCCUGAUAGCCAUACGAUUCCUUGUGGCUCAAUCUAUAACACAGUUGUGUAUUGUAAUUUUAGGAUGUGGAGGAAAGAGAGAAAAUGGUUAGGCAUAUGUGGAAUGCGUACAGCCAGAGUAAUAUUAUCAGGUUGUGUAAUUUCUGGCUAGAGGCUUUUGUGGUGGCAUACCACGCUUAACUAGCGAAGCUGCCAGCAUCUGGACAGACUGUGUCGGAGAUUUCCAAGAUGUACUUUGAUCCAGAUAUAUUUAUGAACCACCACCUCCUCUGCAAUUAACCUUAGGUACAAUACAAUAAAUUGUGUUCCCUUUCAUUCUGUUAUAUUAAGUAGUACAAUAAGUCAUAUGCAUGAGUGGUUUUUAAAAAUUUACUUAUUUAGUAAACGAGUAUGCUUUAAAAUAAAUAAGUCUUUUGUUGAUGAAAAUUGUAAAUUAGUUACUUAUUUUGAAAGUUAUCUCUAUAUUAUGUCAUCCUACCAUUUUCAGCUAGAUUCAAAUUGCAAAGUGAAGUGUAAUUUUGUGCACUUCCAUGGAUGGUACAGAGCAUCUAAGAAGGAAGCUUGACAACGAACACAAGUGGGAAAGACAAGAAGGCACCAACAACUACGAUAGGGGCCAGUCAGAUUAUUGGAGGUGGCUAUCACUCUCCAAGAGUCUGAUCCAAUAAGAUUCUCCAAAUUAAAUUUCUAGGAAUAGCGUGUAUAGAAGGUCAAUAGCAUAUGAAUCUAAUGGUUCUUAAAUCCCAUUGCAAAGUAAUGAGAUGCACUUGUGGUAGGUUUAGUAAGGAGGAUUGAAUAGUAUUGACCAGUGUUUUAAAAAGUGUAAUGUGUGAUGAUGUGUGGAGGCCAAGCUAUGGGCUACGUGAGCUUAGGCGAGGCUUAGGAGUAAAAUAUAUAUAUAUAUAUAUAUAUAAAAG
rnacentral:lncRNA from 1 species